rnacentral:rRNA from 1 species
UACGUAGGGUGCAAGCGUUACUCGGAAUUAUUGGGCGUAAAGCGUGCGCAGGCGGUUCUGAAAGUCAGCUGUGAAAGCCCCGGGCUUAACCUGGGAAUUGCGGUUGAAACUACAGGGCUAGAAUCUGGCAGAGGGGGGUGGAAUUCCACGUGUAGCAGUGAAAUGCGUAGAGAUGUGGAGGAACACCGAUGGCGAAGGCAGCCCCCUGGGCUGAGAUUGACGCUCAGGCACGAAAGCGUGGGGAGCAAACAGG